AUGAGGACUGACAUAUUGUUUUGGAAAGGCAUGAAAAUGUGUGGGUAUGAUGCAGCCAUAUGUGAGAGAAGGAAAUGGGACGCAUGUGCAGAUUGCAGAUCUGAGCCUCUGGUUCUCUUUCCAUUCCUACCAGCAAUGCGGCCCAUUUCUCUGAUUUCAGUCUUGGACUGUAAUCUUUGGGAGUGAAAAAACCUCCCCACAAGUUGAAAUAUCUUUCUGAGCACACUGACUGAUUUUUGGCUGAAGCCUGGAGAUCUCACUGUGGAAAAAUCAUGUGGUUGGAUGCUUUUUCUGCUGCCGAGGAAGCACGCUUUCUGAUGGAUUUGUGCAGAACUCUAGCUCUCCUCCAUCUCCCCUCCUCUACACACAGCCCCCAUCACAGCCCUGCUUGUCCGAGUCCAGCGUGCCCUGGGAGGUGCCAGCCUGGCCAGCCACACUGCACAGUAAGCUGAGUUUUUCUCCUCUCAUCGCUCCUGCUUUUCAUGAAGUACACAGAAAUUUGUACGUCUGAGACCUUUAGCCUUCUGUCAAAUUGGCUGAAAUUGUUCAACAGGUUCAAAACACGCUUGAGGGAAAAUAGCAAACUAACAGAUGGCCAGGCAGCACAACAUAUGCCUCUUUUCUUAAAGAACCAGGCAAAGAAUUCACCAUUCUAAUAGACCUUGAGUAGGAAGGCAGUGACAAGAAAACCACAGGUUAGACUGUCAAGAAUUGACUAUUUGAUAUACACUUCUGUCUCUGUGUGGUCUUUCCAGUUCUCUGGGAAGUACCUCCUAUUUGUACAUUUUUGGAACUGCACAUUUUCACUGAGUGUGUCGAACCCAUCCCUUAGCUCUGACAAAUGCCACAUUUUCCCGUGUUGGUCUUAUCAACCUUAUCACACUGGGACUUGUCGCUGG
rnacentral:lncRNA from 1 species